UUCUUGAAUCCCAUAAGAAGUAAUUCCUGCCCAGUGACUAAAGUUCAACGGCCGCGGUAUCCUAACCGUGCAAAGGUAGCAUAAUCACUUGCCCAUUAAUUGUGGGCUAGAAUGAAAGGACUAACGAAAUAAAAUCUGUCUCUAUAAGCCCCAUAAAAAUUAAUCUCUAACUGAAGAGUGUUAGAUAAAAUCGAAGGACAAGAAGACCCUAUAGAGCUUUAUUUUAAUAAGGAAUAAAACCUUACUAAAAUUCGGUUGGGGCGACCAGGGAAUACUAAUCAUCCCUAUAAAUUAGAUAAAUAAAUCUCAAUUCUGACCCUUAAUAAAGAUCAUUGGAAUAAGCUACCUUAGGGAUAACAGGCUAAUCCUGCUAAAGAGUCCUUAUCAAUAGUAGGGGUUGGCACCUCGAUGUUGGCUUAGGGAAUCUAUGUGGCGCAAAAGUCACAUAAAGAUGGUUUGUUCAACCAAUAACACCCUACAUGAGCUGAGUUCAGACCGGCGUAAGCCAGGUUAGUUUCUAUCCUCGACCAUAUAGCCUAUUUAUAGUACGAAAGGACCUAAAUAAGGAUAAUUAUUAUACUUAAAGAAUAAAUAUAAAGUAAAUUAAAUUAAUAAGCUCAUAAACUAUG
rnacentral:rRNA from 1 species